UACAGAGGGUGCGAGCGUUAAUCGGAAUUACUGGGCGUAAAGCGUGCGUAGACGGCUAUCUAAGUCGGGUGUGAAAGCCCCGGGCUCAACCUGGGAAUUGCAUUCGAGACUGAAUAGCUAGGGUGCGGUAGAGGGAAGCGGAAUUUCCGGUGUAGCGGUGAAAUGCGUAGAUAUCGGAAGGAACAUCAGUGGCGAAAGCGGCUCCCUGGACCAGCACCGACGUUCAGGCACGAAAGCGUGGGGAGCAAACAGG
rnacentral:rRNA from 1 species